AUUGAACGCUGGCGGCAGGCCUAACACAUGCAAGUCGAGCGGAUGAAGGGAGCUUGCUCCUGUCUUCAGCGGCCGACGGGUGAGUAAUGCCUAGGAAUCUACCUGGUAUUGGGGGAUAACGUCCGUACACGGGCGCUAAUACCGCAUCCGUCCUGAUGGUGAAAGUGGUGGAUCUUCGGACCUCACGCUAUCAGAUGAGCCUAGGUCGGAUUAGCUAGUUGGUUGGGUAAAGGCCUACCAAGGCGACGAUCCGUAACUGGUCUGAGAGGAUGAUCAGUCACACUGGAACUGAGACACGGUCCAGACUCCUACGGGAGGCAGCAGUGGGGAAUAUUGGACAAUGGGCGAAAGCCUGAUCCAGCAAUGCCGCGUGUGUGAAGAAGGUCUUCGGAUUGUAAAGCACUGUAAGUUGGGAGGAAGGGCAGUAAGUUAAUACCUUGCUGUUUUGACGUUACCAACAGAAUAAGCACCGGCUAACUUCGUG
rnacentral:rRNA from 1 species